GACGAACGCUGGCGGCGUGCUUAACACAUGCAAGUCGAACGGAAAGGCCCCUUUGGGGGUACUCGAGUGGCGAACGGGUGAGUAACACGUGAGUAACCUGCCCUUGACUUCGGGAUAACUUCAGGAAACUGGGGCUAAUACCGGAUAGGAAUCCUUGCUGCAUGGUGGGGGUUGGAAAGCUUCGGCGGUUUUGGAUGGACUCGCGGCUUAUCAGCUUGUUGGUGGGGUAGUGGCUUACCAAGGCUUUGACGGGUAGCCGGCCUGAGAGGGCGACCGGCCACAUUGGGACUGAGAUACGGCCCAGACUCCUACGGGAGGCAGCAGUGGGGAAUAUUGCACAAUGGGCGGAAGCCUGAUGGAGCAACGCCGCGGGCGGGAUGACGGCCUUCGGGUUGUAAACCGCUUUCAGCAGGGGCGAAGCUUGUGGUGACGGUACCUGCAGAAGAAGCACCGGCUAACUACGUG
rnacentral:rRNA from 1 species